CCUUGCUUUCCUUCUCACGUGGAAGCAGGGGUAAAGGAGACCUGCUGACACUGGGCUGAGAAGAGGCCCAACCAUAGGGACAGGACAGGCAUGGAAUGCUACUGAACCCCAGGGAGCUGCAGGAAAGAGACCAGGGAGAGGAGCAGAGCAGGCGAUGGAAGGAACCUCAUCCUGGGCUGGGAGUGCACUGUCUGCAGGAGCC
rnacentral:lncRNA from 1 species